UACAGAGGUCCCAAGCGUUGUUCGGAUUCAUUGGGCGUAAAGGGUGCGUAGGCGGCGCGGUAAGUCGGGUGUGAAAUCUCGGAGCUUAACUCCGAAACUGCAUUUGAUACUGCCGUGCUUGAGGACUGGAGAGGAGACUGGAAUUUACGGUGUAGCGGUGAAAUGCGUAGAUAUCGGGAGGAACACCUGUGGCGAAAGCGGCUCACUGGACCACAACUGACGCUGAGGCACGAAAGCUAGGGGAGCAAACAGG
rnacentral:rRNA from 1 species